rnacentral:rRNA from 1 species
UACGAAGGGGGCUAGCGUUGCUCGGAAUCACUGGGCGUAAAGGGUGCGUAGGCGGGUCUUUAAGUCAGGGGUGAAAUCCUGGAGCUCAACUCCAGAACUGCCUUUGAUACUGAGGAGCUUGAGUACGGGAGAGGUGAGUGGAAUUCCCAGUGUAGAGGUGAAAUUCGUAGAUAUUGGGAAGAACACCGGUGGCGAAGGCGGCUCACUGGCCCGUUACUGACGCUCAGGCGCGACAGCGUGGGGAUCAAACAGG